rnacentral:rRNA from 1 species
UGCUUCCNCUAGCGGUCUCCNAGCUAUGAUGGAGACGCGUCCCACAGCUCAGUAACACGUGGCCAACCUGCCCUUAGGACAAGUAUAACCCCGGGAAACUGGGGAUAAUCCUUGAUAGGUGAGGAAUUCUGGAAUGAGUCUUUGCUUAAAGGACGUGCAGAUCACGCUUCUGUGCGUUGCCUAAGGAUGGGGCCGCGGCCGAUCAGGUUGUUGGUGAGGUAACGGCUCACCAAGCCUAUAACCGGUACGGGCCGUGAAAGCGGAAGCCCGGAGAUGGGCACUGAGACAAGGGCCCAGGCCCUACGGGGCGCAGCAGUCGCGAAAACUCCGCAAUACGCGAAAGCGUGACGGGGCUAUCCGAGUGCUAUUCGAUGAGAGUAGCUUUUCCUUAGUGUAAAGUGCUGGGGGAAUAAGGAGGGGGCAAGACUGGUGUCAGCCGCCGCGGUANUACCAGCUCUCCGAGUGAUAGGGACGUUUAUUGGGCCUAAAGCAUCCGUAGCUUGCUGAGUCUGUCCUCCGUUAAAUCCAACGAUUUAAUCGUUGGGCUGCGGGGAUACUGCUUAC